AUUGAACGCUGGCGGCAGGCCUAACACAUGCAAGUCGAGCGGAUGAAGGGAGCUUGCUCCUGGAUUCAGCGGCGGACGGGUGAGUAAUGCCUAGGAAUCUGCCUGGUAGUGGGGGGUAACGUCCGGAAACGGGCGCUAAUACCGCAUACGUCCUGAGGGAGAAAGUGGGGGAUCUUCGGACCUCACGCUAUCAGAUGAGCCUAGGUCGGAUUAGCUAGUUGGUGGGGUAAAGGCCUACCAAGGCGACGAUCCGUAACUGGUCUGAGAGGAUGAUCAGUCACACUGGAACUGAGGCACGGUCCAGACUCCUACGGGAGGCAGCAGUGGGGAAUAUUGGACAAUGGGCGAAAGCCUGAUCCAGCCAUGCCGCGUGUGUGAAGAAGGUCUUCGGAUUGUAAAGCACUUUAAGUUGGGAGGAAGGGCAGUAAGUUAAUACCUUGCUGUUUUGACGUUACCAGCAGAAUAAGCACCGGCUAACUUCGUG
rnacentral:rRNA from 1 species